CUUUGGUCAAGAGGAAUUGGUCGACUCAUCAGGCUCAUGACCUGAAGACUGCAGGUUCAGGUUCCACCAAGGA
rnacentral:tRNA from 1 species